AUUGAACGCUGGCGGCACGCCUAACACAUGCAAGUCGAGCGGUAGCAUGAUCUGUAGCAAUACAGAUUGAUGACGAGCGGCGGACGGGUGAGGAAUACGUAGGAAUCUACCCUCGAGCGGGGGGCAACCAAGGGAAACUUUGGCUAAUACCGCAUAAACUCGAGAGAGCAAAGUUGCCGCAAGGUGACACUCGAGGAGGAGCCUGCGUCCGAUUAGCUAGUUGGUGAGGUAAGAGCUCACCAAGGCGAUGAUCGGUAACUGGUCUGAGAGGACGACCAGUCACACUGGGACUGAGACACGGCCCAGACUCCUACGGGAGGCAGCAGUGGGGAAUAUUGGACAAUGGGGGCAACCCUGAUCCAGCGAUGCCGCGUGAGUGAAGAAGGCCUUCGGGUCGUAAAGCUCUUUAGGUUGGGAAGAAGGGUGUACGAGGAUAAUUCGUACACUUUGACGGUACCGACAGAAUAAGCACCGGCAAACUCUGUGCCAGCAGCCGCCGUAA
rnacentral:rRNA from 1 species